rnacentral:rRNA from 1 species
CUGCUGGUAAAGGUCAUUACGUAUUACUUUACUUACCGGAGGAAAAGAAACCAACAGGGAUUGCCCCAGUAACGGCGAGUGAAGCGGCAACAGCUCAAAUUUGAAAUCUGGCCCCCCGGCCCGAGUUGUAAUUUGUAGAGGAUGUUCUGGCGACGCGCCUUCCGAGUUCCCUGGAACGGGACGCCACAGAGGGUGAGAGCCCCGUCCGGUCGUGCGCCUAGCCUGUGUGAAGCUCCUUCGACGAGUCGAGUAGUUUGGGAAUGCUGCUCUAAAUGGGAGGUAUACGUCUUCUAAAGCUAAAUACCGGCCAGAGACCGAUAGCGCACAAGUAGAGUGAUCGAAAGAUGAAAAGCACUUUGAAAAGAGGGUUAAAUAGUACGUGAAAUUGCUGAAAGGGAAGCGCUUAUGACCAGACUUGGGCCCGGUGAAUCACCCAGCGUUCUCGCUGGUGCACUUUGCCGGCCCAGGCCAGCAUCAGUUCGCGCCGGGGGAUAAAGGCUUCGGGAAUGUAGCUCCCUCGGGAGUGUUAUAGACCGUUGCGCAAUACCCUGGGGCGGACUGAGGUACGCGCUCUCCAAGGAUGCUGGCGUAAUGGUCAUCAGUGACCCGUCUUGAAACACGGACCAAGGAGUCGUCUUCGUAUGCGAGUGCUCGGGUGUCAAACCCCUACGCGUAAUGAAAGUGAACGUAGGAGAGAGCUUCGGCGCAUCUCCGACCGAUCCUGAUGUUCUCGGAUGGAUUUGAGUAAGAGCAUACAGGGCCGGACCCGAAAGAAGGUGAACUAUGCCUGUAUAGGGUGAAGCCAGAGGAAACUCUGGUGGAGGCUCGCAGCGGUUCUGACGUGCAAAUCGAUCGUCAAAUAUGGGCAUGGGGGCGAAAGACUAAUCGAACCUUCUAGUAGCUGGUUUCCGCCGAAGUUUCCCUCAGGAUAGCAGUGUUGAGCUCAGUUUUAUGAGGUAAAGCGAAUGAUUAGGGACUCGGGGGG